UUGAGCAAGAUGGAGAAGCAGGGCACGUGCAUUACUAGCUCAUGCACCACAAACCAAUAAUCUUUUGCUCGAGUUAGACUCUUGCUUGCUGCUUUGA